rnacentral:snRNA from 1 species
AUUGAUUCCUCGUCGAUUCUUACCCUCG